CGGAGUGUUCUUCACGUGCCGCCUCUCUCACUCUGUCUUCCGUGCUCGGGAGUGCAGCAGCGCCCUUCACACUGGAUUGGUUCAUCUCUCCGAGAGCAGAGGCUUUAAGGUAGAUCAUCCAUGCACGCUUGCAGGUAGACUCUCCCAGUGAAAGGGGAAGGGUCCAUGUGGAUCGAGACAAUAAAAGGUUAAGUACAGUAAAAA